CCUGAACGCUGGCGGCGUGGCUAAGACAUGCAAGUCGAACGGAUGUAGCAAUACAUCAGUGGCGGACGGGUGAGUAAUGAAUCGCUAACGUACCCCGGAGCCAGGGAUAGCUGCCCGAAAGGGCAGGUAAUACCUGAUGAGACCACAAGCAGGCAUCUGCUGGUGCUCAAAGCCGCAAGGCACUCUGGGAGCGGGCGAUUUUGUAUCAGCUAGUUGGUGAGGUAAUGGCUCACCAAGGCGACGACGCAUAGCCGGACUGAGAGGUUGGCCGGCCACAUUGGGACUGAGACACUGCCCAGACUCCUACGGGGGGCUGCAGUAACGAAUCUUCCGCAAUGUACGCAAGUAUGACGGAGCGACGCCGCGUGU
rnacentral:rRNA from 1 species